UACGAGGGGGGCAAGCGUUGUUCGGAAUUAUUGGGCGUAAAGGGCGCGUAGGCGGUGCGGUAAGUCUGAUGUGAAAUCUCCGGGCUCAACUUGUAGUCUGCAUGAGAAACUGCCGGGCUUGAGUAUGGGAGAGGUGAGUGGAAUUCCGGGUGUAGCGGUGGAAUGCGUAGAGAUCCGGAAGAACACCGGUGGCGAAGGCGGCCUGCUGGGCUAUGGCUGACACUGAGGCGCGACAGCGUGGGGAGCAAACAGG
rnacentral:rRNA from 1 species